GGGGGAUAACGCAGCGAAAGCUGUGCUAAUACCGCAUACGAUCUAUGGAUGAAAGCGGGGGGUCGCAAGACCUCGCGCGAUUGGAGCGGCCGAUAUCAGAUUAGCUAGUUGGUGGGGUAAAGGCUCACCAAGGCGACGAUCUGUAGCUGGUCUGAGAGGACGACCAGCCACACUGGAACUGAGACACGGUCCAGACUCCUACGGGAGGCAGCAGUGGGGAAUUUUGGACAAUGGGCGCAAGCCUGAUCCAGCAAUGCCGCGUGCAGGAUGAAGGCCUUCGGGUUGUAAACUGCUUUUGUACGGAGCGAAAAGGCUUUCUCUAAUACAGGGGGCUCAUGACGGUACCGUAAGAAUAAGCACCGGCUAACUACGUGCCAGCAGCCGCGGUAAUACGUAGGGUGCGAGCGUUAAUCGGAAUUACUGGGCGUAAAGCGUGCGCAGGCGGUUUUGUAAGACAGAUGUGAAAUCCCCGGGCUCAACCUGGGACCUGCAUUUGUGACUGCAAGGCUGGAGUACGGCAGAGGGGGAUGGAAUUCCGCGUGUAGCAGUGAAAUGCGUAGAUAUGCGGAGGAACACCGAUGGCGAAGGCAAUCCCCUGGGCCUGUACUGACGCUCAUGCACGAAAGCGUGGGGAGCAAACAGGAUUAGAUACCCUGGUAGUCCACGCCCUAAACGAUGUCAACUGGUUGUUGGGUCUUACCUGACUCAGUAACGAAGCUAACGCGUGAAGUGACCGCC
rnacentral:rRNA from 1 species